AUGGCGCUCCAGCUUCGCCGCCUCCUCCCGCACGGCUACGCGCACCGCGCCGUCACCCUCGCCACCAAGCCGCUGCCGCCGGCGCCGGCCAUGCUUCACUUUGGGACUUCCCAGAGAUACUCAUGCUCCUUCAUGCCUUAUUCGCCUCUCCGUCCUUGUCAAAUGUGUGGAGUCGCAGUACGGAAUAGUGCAACGAGGAAAAUGUCUCUAAGAAAUAGCUCUCAGCUCGCCCUACAGCUCAGAAGCAGUGCCUUUUUGACUACUGGGCUCUCGGGGUACCACAGUUCUGUAAGUUCCAGGGCUGCAGCUAUCUGUGGAGUUGCUUUAAAGGCUACCAGUAGUGUUAAUUCACGGCUCUUCUCGACUGCAUAUGGUAAAAAGUUAAGGCUUCUCAUUAGAAAUAAGAGCUCAUUUAGCCAUCCAAAUAUAAAUAGGGAAGAUGGGAGUGCUGCCCAUAGUUACGUCCAUAAAUCUGAGAGACGCAAAAGCACACUAGCUGCAUGUAGCACCAUCGCUGAUGAGGCUUCCACAUCUACUAGCAAGUGCAGCGAGAGUGGUACAGAUACUAAAAAGGACAUUGCAAAGAAGAAGAAUUCUAGAGGCAGCAAAAAAGAAGUUAGUGCAGAUGUGAAAGAAAAGAAAGUUUCUACCAAGAAAAAGAGCACUUCUGCUAAAACUAGUAAAACAGCAGCAAAGACAACUGAGAAAGCUAGUGCGAAGCAAGAAGAAAAGAAGGUCGACGCAUCUAAACCAAAGAAAGGGGUUGGUAGUUCCAAAGAGAAAAAAACAGUAACCAGAUCGAAGAAACCUGUGAAAGCAAAGGAGUCAGCUGCUAUUGCAGCCGCUGAAACAAAGAAUUGCAUGGAGACCACUGUUGAUAGUUCUGGUAGCGAGAGGAGGCCACUUGUACCUCUUUACCCCCCGGUAGCUAAAUCAGUAGUUGUUGUUGAAUCAGCUAUAAAAGCAAAAGUUAUUCAAAAAUACCUUGGGGACAUGUAUGAAGUAUUACCUAGCUAUGGUCAUGUGAGAGAUCUAGCUGGAAGGUCAAAAUCUGUCCGCCCUGAUGACGACUUCAGCAUGGUAUGGGAGGUGCCUACUGCUGCCUGGACACACCUUAAAAGCAUUAAAGUUGCAUUGAAAGGAGCAGAAAAUUUGAUUCUCGCUUCUGACCCUGACCGUGAAGGUGAAGCAAUUGCUUGGCACAUAAAGGAAAUGCUUGAACAGCAGCCGGGUGUGUUGGGUUCCCAUGUUACUGUUGCAAGAGUUGUCUUCCAUGAAAUUACAGAGGAUGCUAUUAAAAACGCUUUAAUGUCUCCAAGAUAUAUUGAUAUGGACUUAGUUAAUGCUUACCUUGCACGUCGUUCCCUUGAUUAUUUGAUUGGGUUUGGCAUAUCACCACUUUUAUGGAGGAAGUUGCCUGGUUGUCAGUCAGCUGGACGAGUCCAAUCUGCAGCUUUGGCUCUUGUAUGUGAUCGGGAGACUGAAAUAGAACGGUUUACCCCGCAGGAAUAUUGGACUGUUGAUACUGAAUUCGAAACCCAGUGUUCGGAUUCUUCAAAAGGCCUAUGUCUUACAUCCCGGAUAAAGCUUCUCAAUUCAAAAAAGUUGGAUCAGCUUUCUAUAAGCUCUCAAGAAGAAGCACGAGCAAUAGAAAAGAGGAUUUAUUCUUGCCAAUUCGAAGUAAGAGGUGUUAAGAGAAGCAAAAUUUGCAAGAAUCCUCCAAUGCCGUAUAUAACAUCCAGCCUUCAGCAGGAUGCAGCAAACAAACUACAUUUUGGUGCAGGGCGUACCAUGAAGGUAGCCCAGAAGCUUUAUGAAGGGAUCAGUCUUUCGUCAGAACAAACAACGGGGUUAAUAACGUACCUCAGAACAGAUGGGUUUCAUAUUUCUGAUGGAGCCGCAGAAGAUAUUCGUUCGUUAGUGAAAGAAAGGUAUGGAGAGCAAUAUGCACCAGAGGAUAUUAGGAAGUACUUGAAUAAGGUGAAAAAUGCUCAAGAGGCCCAUGAAGCCAUAAGGCCCACCAGCAUAAGGAGGUUGCCAUCAUCUUUGAUUGGAAUACUUGAUGAGGAUUCUUUGAAACUGUACACUCUAAUAUGGAGAAGAACAAUGGCUUGCCAAAUGGAAGCUUCAAGGACUGAGCUGAUUCAAGUUGACAUUAGUAAUCCUGAAGGCGACAUGAUUUUUCAUUCAUCUGCAUCAAGGCUUGACUUCAAGGGGUACCAAGCCGUCUAUGAGGACACUGAAGCAAGUGGGUCCAGUGAAAGCCCUGAAGGAGAAGCUGCACAUCAGGAUAAUUUUGAGGCCUUGUCCAAAUUAAAGAUGAAAGAUUUGGCGUCUCCCGUUAACGUGAAUCUCGGGCAGCACUUUACUAAACCUCCAUCCCGUUAUUCUGAGGGUGCAUUGAUAAAAAAGAUGGAGGAACUUGGAAUUGGAAGGCCGUCUACGUACGCCUCUAUAAUGAGGGUGUUGCAGGACCGGAAAUACGUGACAAUAAAAAGUCGAGUUCUGCACCCUGAGUUUCGUGGUCGAAUGGUCUCAGCAUUUCUUUCACAUCUUUUCUCUGAGAUUGCCGAUUACAGCUUUACUGCUAACAUGGAGACGGAGCUAGACAAUGUCUCUGCUGGUUCAACUGAAUGGAAGGGCCUCCUGACAGAUUACUGGGAACGAUUCACCAAAUACUGCACAGAUGCUAGUCAAUGGGAUGUUAGAAAGGUAGAGAGAAUGCUUGAAGAGAAAUUCCUUCCUAUCCUCUUUCCUGACCUUGACACCGAUAGUAGGGUUUGCCCUAGUUGUUCUGAAGGGACCCUGAGAUUUAAAGUUAGUAGGUACGGCGAAGGCUAUUUUAUAGGCUGUGACCGACAUCCAAAAUGCAAGUACAUCGCCCGCACAUUAUCAGAUGAAGAUGACGAAAAUGAAACCUCCGAGGAAACUCCGAAGUCUUUUGAACCUCGGUUACUUGGUGUCAAGCCUGAUACAAACGAAAAGGUCUUCUUAAAACAAGGUCCUUAUGGUUACUACAUCCAGGUUGGAGAGGAUAGGAAAGGAGCGUCCCAGAAAAGGGCUCCUAUUUCCGAGGUCAAAGAUAUUAACUCUAUCACCAUCGAAGAUGCAAUUGAGCUAUUGCAGUAUCCAAAAGUUCUGGGGAAACAUCCUGAUGAUGAGCAUCCUGUACUUAUGACACAUUCUAAAGCUGGAUUUAGCGUCCGGCACAGGAGAAGCCUUGCUCCAGUGCCAAAGACUCACGACCCAAAGAAGGUUACACUUGAGCGUGCACUGAAGUAUCUGACGGGUAAAAAUGUCAAAAAGUUUGGUCGACCAAAGGGAAAAACUAACAAAAAUGCAGAACCCAUUGAAUGGCAUUAA
rnacentral:rRNA from 1 species